GACUCUCGGCAACGGAUAUCUCGGCUCUUGCAUCGAUGAAGAACGUAGCGAAAUGCGAUACUUGGUGUGAAUUGCAGAAUCCCGUGAACCAUCGAGUCUUUGAACGCAAGUUGCGCCCGAAGCCUUUACGGCCGAGGGCACGCCUGCCUGGGCGUCACACACAG
rnacentral:rRNA from 3 species